rnacentral:ncRNA from 1 species
UAGCGGGUGAGAGUCUCGCCAACAGAGGAGUCCAGUCGCUGUUGUAGUUAUAUCCUGCAGCGGGAAGGGCGACCAACCCGCUGAAAGCCCGGAUGUAAAAGCCCCGCUAGCUGGGUAACCGGUCAGAUCCGUGCAGGGGGCGAGCAAGCUGGCAGACCGUAGCAGAU